GUGCUUUGAGCGGUGGGCGUGAGUGAAGCCAAGGCUUGAGUAGAAUUCACUUUUUAGACCUAUACAGCACGGAGAGCGUCCAUGAGCCAGAGGUGAGUUCUUACUUCACUGGUUGGUAUUUACCUCCAUGUGACUGACUUUACUUUUAAAUAUUGUGCCCCACCAGACUUUCAUGUCCGUGUGAGCCAUUUGUAAAUUGGUCCUGUGUGAGGCAAGCAGGGUGCCCUGGAGUGGGAGGCUGGGAAAGUGACACAGCUGUUUGAGACCUCGCUGUGUUGAAGCAGGGGUUCGGUGACUGCAGUCAGCUCUAAGUGCUGCAUCUUUGCUGCCUGUGGAUUGGUGCUCUCCGGCCGUCUGUCUCAUGGUGGUUGCCAACUGCUUGCUGUUGCAAAUGCUGUCGUUUCUAGAAGAGAGUACCUGCAGAGUAACUUUUAAAGUCAUGUCCACUCCAUCUAUGCAUAAUCAUUUCCAUGAGCCCUCUUUAAGUUGUGUGUCAAGAUGAAAAUAGGACCGCUAGGGGUGGCACCUCUCUAAUUCCAGCACUUGGAAGGCAGGCUAAGGCAGGAGAAUUUAAGUUUGAGGCCAUCCUACGUAGUACGUUCCUAGCUAGCUUCCCUACAGGGCGAGGCUGUCUAAGACAGCAGGGUGUGUAGAAGGUGACCACUGCUUUCCAUCUCCAGUUGCCCUGUCUCCUCUUCCUUCUCCUGCCUUUGACCUGGGGCAGAGGCCAGGCACCAAUCAGCAACCCCAAAUCUGCUCCUGGAUUUCCCCACAGCCGCCUCUAAGCUCAGCUCUAUGUGUGACGUACUCUUUGGCUCAUUGAGGAGUGGAGCAUGCGCAAGGCUGUCUCUCUGUAGGCCUGUUUUAUGUGAAUUGUCUGUCUUUAGUUUGAAGGAGAAAUUGCCUGGAUUUCUUGGCGCUGCUCAGCCACCAGCUGCACAGGUUUUCUCCUAUCUUUUGUCUCAGCCAUGUGUGAAGGAGUCCUCAACUUCUCAGCUGAUCCGUAAGAAAAGCCAUCUAGAGGUUUUUCCUUUGUGGUUCUUAAAAAGUGAUUCCCACUACUGUGAACCAGCCUUGAGGCUUCUGUGCACAGAGACAUGGGGAUUUAUUAUGUUUGGUCAGGGACCAAUGUCCCUGUUCCUAUGAAAACAGCAGUCACUACUGUUUUUGACAAGCUUGCAUUUAGUAUUGAUUUAUAAAUAGAGAUUAUCUAAAUGUCAGCUUUAAAAGCAAACCUUGGUAUCGUUCCACUUUCAGGGGUCAUUUAUUAUAGCAAACACUACAGUUUCCUAAGCUCGAGAACUCGAUUAAACACAGGUGUGCUGUCACUGAGUUGGGGUUUUAGGAGCAACACUGUCUGUAUCCUUCCAGUGAAUAAAUGCAGCAGCUACACUUAGGAAACUGGGUCAGUGUGAUGCUGAGUUGCUUGAAUGACCUGGGCUCUAAACCCUCUGGUGAAGGAGAUGGAGGACAGUUGUGCAAGUGAUGCUGUGGAGGAGCCAGUAAUCACAUGACCCCUCAGGUCCUCUCAUGCCCAUGGUCUCGGCUUACAUCCACGGAGGAUUCCACAGAGCAGGCCAUAGACUGUGGGACGUCUCAGAGGCCAUGGCCCUCCUUUAUCAGCACUGCAGGGAUGCUUGGGUUAAGUGGGUAACUUUUGGAAAUCAGAAAACCAGAGUGAUGCGAUCAUCUCAGAAACCUGAAACUUCUUUGUGGGCAAGAUUUUACAGUGACAUUGGUAAUUUUUUAUUGUGUGCAAUGAAGAGAAAAGCAGAAAUAAUAAAAUUCAAUAGUCUUAACACAUUUAUUUUAAGGAAAAAAUCGAAUGUCAAAAGACAAAAACAGUGUAAUCUUCUCACCAAAUAUGAGAAGGUGGCAGCAGAUAGUCAUCUGAAAAUUCUAUAUCCAGGGUCUAAAACUCUUGGAAUUUGAGGCCUGACACAGUUGGGUCUUACUGCUGCAUUUCAUUUUUGAUAAAUGAGGUUUAGUGGGAUUUUGCCCUUUGAUUUGGUCAGGAUUUGGUUUGUGUUAAUAAAGUCAGUAUCACAGAGUUUUGACCAGAAUUUAAUCUCCCAGUGUGAAAACUGAGACAGAGCGUUUGUCCACAUCCCAAUUCUUAGAGUGGCCACUGGAAGGGUCUGGUUUGGGUAGAGCCAUUGUCACUGUUAGGCUUGCUUAUGGGACUUCAUCUGAAGCUGAGGCCUUAAGACCUGUCCAUGCAGAUGCUAGUGAUAGCUGUGUGAGGGCAGGAAACACUAGGGCCCACCCCGACCUGAUGUGGAAGCCUGGGCCUUCACCAACAGAUGUCAUUGGGCACAUCUGGUACAGAUUAUAGCAGUUUUCAUUGUGUCUCAAGAUGGCUUCCUUGCAAUGUUGGCCCGAAGACAGCAUUUGCUCCAAAGCUGGGACAUCCAUCAUCUCAACAAAGAGUAUGAAGAGACUGGUUUCUCCAUUUAUAUUUAUUGGCAGACAGCACAGUGUGCAAGACGUCCUUUCUACUGUAAUUUUCAAAUUUCUAAUAAAUUUGGUUCUGUUUUCACUCUGCCUCAUAAUCCACUGUCCACUGUACCUGUUUUCUUUGCUCAGCCAUUCCAGAGGAAACCUGAGAUUGUAGGACUAGAAUGUCAACUUCUGAACUCGUCUGGCUCUCAAGGUGAACAUCCCUGCAGAAGUGCAAAAUGUGCACAUAGUGAGCAGUCGGGGAGCUCCCUGUAGGUACUGCAUUGUCCUCAUGAAGCUGGCUCUGAGAGCCUUUCUCUUUAGCCUGACUGCGACUUGUAAUAAGGUGGUAUUGUGCAGAACUGCCCAUGGCGGGGUUGGGGAUUUAGCUCAGUGGUAGAGCGCUUGCCUAGGAAGCGCAAGGCCCUGGGUUCGGUCCCCAGCUCCGGAAAAAAAAAAAAAAAAAA
rnacentral:lncRNA from 1 species